rnacentral:rRNA from 1 species
AGAUUGAACGCUGGCGGCAUGCUUUACACAUGCAAGUCGAACGGUAACAGGCCGCAAGGUGCUGACGAGUGGCGAACGGGUGAGUAAUGCAUCGGAACGUGCCCAGUCGUGGGGGAUAACGCAGCGAAAGCUGUGCUAAUACCGCAUACGAUCUAUGGAUGAAAGCGGGGGACCGAAAGGCCUCGCGCGAUUGGAGCGGCCGAUGUCAGAUUAGCUAGUUGGUGGGGUAAAGGCCCACCAAGGCGACGAUCUGUAGCUGGUCUGAGAGGACGACCAGCCACACUGGAACUGAGACACGGUCCAGACUCCUACGGGAGGCAGCAGUGGGGAAUUUUGGACAAUGGGCGCAAGCCUGAUCCAGCAAUGCCGCGUGCAGGAAGAAGGCCUUGGUUGUAACUGCUUUGUACGGAACGAAACGGUACGUGGUUAAUACCGUCGGCUAAGUGACGGUACGUAAGAAUAAGUACACCGCUAACUACGUA